UUCUCUUUCUUUCUUCUUCUUCUUUCUCCUCUUCUCCUUCUUCUUCUUCUUCCUUCUCCUCCUCCUCCUCCUCUUCUUCUUCUUCUUCUUCUUCUCCUUCAUCUUCUUCUUCCUCCUUCUACUUAUUCUUCUUUUGUUCUUCCUAGCACUAAACCUAUCACUAAACUAAUCUUGCAUGAACCUAAUCUAACACUAAACCUAGCACUGAACUACAUACAUAAUCUAAUCUAACAAUUAAAAAGCAAAAAAGAAGAAAAAA
rnacentral:lncRNA from 1 species